rnacentral:misc_RNA from 1 species
UCCUAUGAUACAAACACAAAGCCUGAUAAAAAACUCUGCUUUUGCAUACCCACUAACCAAAUCAUUCCAUGAAAACAAAUCUCUCUUGCUCAUUCUCCCAAACACAUUCCCCAAGAAUAUCAUCAAAUGUUUUAGCAGCGAUCAUAGCGUUGAAAACAGGCAGAGAUUGUAUAAGUCACUGCUGGAGUAUGCCCUUGUUCUUGUUUUAAGGAGUUUUCAAAAUGGCGGGAGAAUUCGACUUGGGAGGAUGAAACAGGCGAAGCAAAUAGGACAUUUUAGGGGGAUUGAAAUCGAAGGGUUGUGAUGACAGAUUCUGGGGGUGCUGGGGAAUCUACGAUGGUAUUUAUGGGUUUUGGGAGGUG